UGGGGAAUAUUGGACAAUGGGCGGAAGCCUGAUCCAGCAACGCCGCGUGAGGGAUGACGGCCUUCGGGUUGUAAACCUCUUUCAGUAGGGACGAAGCGCGAGUGACGGUACCUACAGAAGAAGCACCGGCCAACUACGUGCCAGCAGCCGCGGUAAUACGUAGGGUGCGAGCGUUGUCCGGAAUUAUUGGGCGUAAAGGGCUCGUAGGCGGUUUGUCGCGUCGGGAGUGAAAACACCGGGCUUAACUCGGUGCUUGCUUUCGAUACGGGCAGACUAGAGGCAUGCAGGGGAGAACGGAAUUCCUGGUGUAGCGGUGAAAUGCGCAGAUAUCAGGAGGAACACCGGUGGCGAAGGCGGUUCUCUGGGCAUGUCCUGACGCUGAGGAGCGAAAGUGUGGGGAGCGAACA
rnacentral:rRNA from 1 species